UCAUAGAAUUUUUUCAAAUUCAUGAUGUCGUAAGGGAAAAUAAUGAUAAUACCUUACUAUGAGUGUCGUCCAAAUCUGGUGCCAGAAGACUCGGUAAGACCAGAGACGCAAACGUUAAUCAUCAUAAACAGGCGUAAAGGGUUUGUAGGCAGCUUUUAUAGGAUUCUUUUUAAAGAUAAUCUAAAUUGAAAGCUAGAAUCAAAAAGAGGUUAUAGUGUAUAACGCCUAGAGGAGGGCUGAUAUCCGUAGAUCCUAGGCAGAAUACUCAGGGCGAAGGCCACUCUCCACUAAUGAUUGACGCUGAGAAACGAAGGUUAGGGUAGGAAAUAGGAUUAGAUACCCCGGUACUCCUUUCUGUAAACGAUGAAUGGUAGUCAUUAGUAAAAAUAAAAUAACUAGAGGCGAAGUUAACACAAUAACCAUUCCGCCUUGUGAGUACUACUGCAAAGUAGAAAACAAAAAAAUUAGUCGGUCUCGAAGCAAACGGAGUGAAGCAUGUUAUUUA
rnacentral:rRNA from 1 species